AAAACCAAAACSGGGCAAAGGGGUACCCCCAAGGGCUCCCUGAAAAAGGGGGCUUUUCCUUGGUCUAAAAACCUUCGGGAAUAAGAGGGGGGCAAGACUGGUGUCAGCCGCCGCGGUAACACCAGCCCCUCGAGUGGUGGGGAUGAUUAUUUGGCCUAAAGCGUUCGUAGCCGGCCGGGUAAGUUUCCCGUUAAAUCCAGCGUCUCAAGCGUUGGACUGCGGGAAAUACUGCAUGGCUAGAGAGUGGGAGAGGUGUACGGUAUUCUGGGGGUAGGGGCGAAAUCCUUUGAUCCCCGGAGGACCACCAGUGGCGAGGCUGUACACUAGAACACGUCUGACGGUCAGGGACGAAAGCUGGGGUAGCGAACCGGAUUAGAUACCCGGGUAGUCCCAGCUGUAAACGAUGCAUGCUAGGUGUUGGGUUGGCCACGAGCCACCCCAGUGCCGCAGGGAAGCCGUUAAGCAUGCCGCCUGGGAAGUACGAUCGCAAGAUUGAAACUUAAAGGAAUUGGCGGGGGAG
rnacentral:rRNA from 1 species